rnacentral:rRNA from 1 species
AGAUGGCGACCGGCGCACGGGUGGGUAACACGUAUCCAACCUGCCGAUAACUCGGGGAUAGCCUUUCGAAAGAAAGAUUAAUACCCGAUGGCAUAAUUAGACCGCAUGGUCUUAUUAUUAAAGAAUUUCGGUUAUCGAUGGGGAUGCGUUCCAUUAGGCAGUUGGUGAGGUAACGGCUCACCAAACCUUCGAUGGAUAGGGGUUCUGAGAGGAAGGUCCCCCACAUUGGAACUGAGACACGGUCCAA